UACAGAGGUCCCAAGCGUUGUUCGGAUUCACUGGGCGUAAAGCGCAGGUAGGCGGCUUUCUAAGUCGGGGGUGAAAUCCUGGAGCUCAACUCCAGAACUGCCUUCGAUACUGGAGAGCUUGAGUCCGGGAGAGGUGAGUGGAACUGCGAGUGUAGAGGUGAAAUUCGUAGAUAUUCGCAAGAACACCAGUGGCGAAGGCGGCUCACUGGCCCGGUACUGACGCUGAGGUGCGAAAGCGUGGAGAGCAAACAGG
rnacentral:rRNA from 1 species